CGCACGGGUGAGUAACACGUAUCCAACCUGCCGUCUACUCUUGGACAGCCUUCUGAAAGGAAGAUUAAUACAAGAUGGCAUCAUGAGUCCGCAUGUUCACAUGAUUAAAGGUAUUCCGGUAGACGAUGGGGAUGCGUUCCAUUAGAUAGUAGGCGGGGUAACGGCCCACCUAGUCUUCGAUGGAUAGGGGUUCUGAGAGGAAGGUCCCCCACAUUGGAACUGAGACGCGGUCCAAACUCCUACGGGAGGCAGCAUG
rnacentral:rRNA from 1 species